rnacentral:rRNA from 1 species
GUAGGCCUAACACAUGCAAGUCGAACGGCAGCACAGAGGAGCUUGCUCCUUGGGUGGCGAGUGGCGGACGGGUGAGGAAUACAUCGGAAUCUACUUUUUCGUGGGGGAUAACGUAGGGAAACUUACGCUAAUACCGCAUACGACCUACGGGUGAAAGCAGGGGAUCUUCGGACCUUGCGCGAUUGAAUGAGCCGAUGUCGGAUUAGCUAGUUGGCGGGGUAAAGGCCCACCAAGGCGACGAUCCGUAGCUGGUCUGAGAGGAUGAUCAGCCACACUGGAACUGAGACACGGUCCAGACUCCUACGGGAGGCAGCAGUGGGGAAUAUUGGACAAUGGGCGCAAGCCUGAUCCAGCCAUACCGCGUGGGUGAAGAAGGCCUUCGGGUUGUAAAGCCCUUUUGUUGGGAAAGAAAUCCAGCCGGCUAAUACCUGGUUGGGAUGACGGUACCCAAAGAAUAAGCACCGGCUAACUUCGUGCCAGCAGCCGCGGUAAUACGAAGGGUGCAAGCGUUACUCGGAAUUACUGGGCGUAAAGCGUGCGUAGGUGGUUGUUUAAGUCUGUUGUGAAAGCCCUGGGCUCAACCUGGGAACUGCAGUGGAAACUGGACAACUAGAGUGUGGUAGAGGGUAGCGGAAUUCCCGGUGUAGCAGUGAAAUGCGUAGAGAUCGGGAGGAACAUCCAUGGCGAAGG